rnacentral:rRNA from 1 species
UACCGGGCAGUGGGGGAUAACUAUCGAAAGAUUAGCUAAUACCGCAUUUCUUCUGAGGAAGAAAGCAGGGGACCAUUUCUGUUUGAGCGGCCGAUAUCUGAUUAGCUAGUUGGUGGGGUAAAGGCCUACCAAGGCGACGAUCAGUAGCGGGUCUGAGAGGAUGAUCCGCCACACUGGGACUGAGACACGGCCCAGACUCCUACGGGAGGCAGCAGUGGGGAAUUUUGGACAAUGGGCGCAAGCCUGAUCCAGCCAUGCCGCGUGUCUGAAGAAAGGGCUUCGGGUUGUAAAGGACUUUUGUCAGGGAAGAAAAGGGCGGGGUUAAUACCCCUGUCUGAUGACGGACCUGAAGAAUAAG